rnacentral:rRNA from 1 species
UACGAAGGGGGCUAGCGUUGCUCGGAAUUACUGGGCGUAAAGGGCGCGUAGGCGGCACUGUUAGUCAGGCGUGAAAGUCCUGGGCUCAACCUGGGAACUGCGCUUGAUACGGCAGAGCUAGAGGAUGGAAGAGGCUCGCGGAAUUCCCAGUGUAGAGGUGAAAUUCGUAGAUAUUGGGAAGAACACCGGUGGCGAAGGCGGCGUGCUGGUCCAUUACUGACGCUGAGGCGCGACAGCGUGGGGAGCAAACAGG